rnacentral:rRNA from 1 species
UCCAGACUCCUACGGGAGGCAGCAGUGAGGAAUAUUGGUCAAUGGCCGAGAGGCUGAACCAGCCAAGUCGCGUGAGGGAUGACGGCCCUACGGGUUGUAAACCUCUUUUGUCGGGGAGCAAAGAGAGUCACGUGUGGCUCAUUGAGAGUACCCGAAGAAAAAGCAUCGGCUAACUCCGUGCCAGCAGCCGCGGUAAUACGGAGGAUGCGAGCGUUAAUCGGAAUUACUGGGCGUAAAGCGCUCGUAGGCGGUAUGUCAAGUCAAGGGUGAAAUCCCCGCGCUCAACGUGGGAACUGCCUUUGAAACUGGCAAACUGGAGUGUGUGAGAGGAUAGUGGAAUUCCAGGUGUAGGAGUGAAAUCCGUAGAUAUCUGGAGGAACAUCAGUGGCGAAGGCGACUAUCUGGCACAUAACUGACGCUGAGGAGCGAAAGCGUGGGUAGCAAACAGGAUUAGAUACCCGGGUAG